GCUGUCUCUUUUUAAUUAAAAUUUUAAUUUAAUUUUUAAGUUAAAAAGCUUAAAUUUUUUUGGAGGACGAGAAGACCCUAUAGAGUUUUAUAAUUUUAUUUAAAUAAUUAUUUUUAAUUAAGGUUUUAUUUUUUAAAAUUAUUUUAUUGGGGCGAUAGGAAAAUUUAUUAAACUUUUUUAUUUAAUUUUUCAUUAAUUAAUGUUUUUAAGAUCCUUUUAUU
rnacentral:rRNA from 1 species